UGUUUUCCUUUAAGAGACCACCAAAGGACGUCUCAGAUGUUGUUGGAGACAAACAUCCCUAACAAAAGAAGAAAAAACUGCUGAGUGGCAUAUCCUGUCCCUGCUUCAACAGCCUUCCCCAAGUUCAGCAUCAUUUGAACACAAGGAAGGAAAAAAAAUGAUGAACUCCCACAUUCUGCCUCAGUGACUAGUCCAGUGUUGGCAACAUCUUCAUCCUGGGCAACAGAGUCCCUUCCCAUGGAAUAGUGUAACUUGAGCUUGGGAGGGACAGCACUUUCUGCUCUGGAGGUAAGAUCAGGAAAACAUGAAUCCAGAGCCAUCAGCUGCCCCAGGCCUAUUGCAUGACCCAAGCCCAACUGCAAGAGGAGAGAAAGGACCUGGCACAAACAAGAGAAACAGAGGAGAUCAAAGCAGCUGCAUCAUCUCAUUAACCUUCACUCAGCACCACGGAGGAGAUGGCGAGGUAAAUGAUAACAUAUUAGAGAAAAUUUUAAACACUUAAAGUUUCAAGACUUGCCAAAAACUCACUGUGAUAAGCUGAGAAAAUGCCAAGUUCUGGAGUUGCUUUUUCUUCUGAUUCUUAGGCUCUGAUUUAUCUGUGAGAUGACAUUGUGAGAGAGAGGGACAGGUCAGCUUGGAACAUUUCUGCAGAGCAGGCAGCGCUGAACUUCAAGCUAACCUGCACUUAAA
rnacentral:lncRNA from 1 species